GUUGUUGUAAACAUCCCCGACUGGAAGCUGUAAGAUAGAGCUAAGCUUUCAGUCAGAUGUUUGCGGCUAC
ensembl:miRNA